CACAUACCUGUUUCGCAAUCUUUUUCUUCAAAUCUGGAUCUGAAAGAGAAGAGGUUCUCUUUUAGCUACACAAGUGUCUGGCCUCUAUAAGUAUCCACUCGAGAUUAGCCUGGAACAGUCCUCUUUAAUCUAAAUUUUUGUUCUCCAAAAUUCAACCUGCUGAAUUUGAACGAAGCCUGGAUCACGAUCAAUGCUUGAUCUUUUUUUUUAUCUUCUUCUUCUCCCCUUCUCUAGAAUUUCUCUCCUUGCCAUGUUGUGAUAUCCCGGCCCAGCCCAAGUAAGAAUCCCAGCCC
rnacentral:lncRNA from 1 species